rnacentral:rRNA from 1 species
UACGAAGGGUGCGAGCGUUAUUCGGAAUCACUGGGCGUAAAGGGUGCGUAGACGGUACAUUAAGUUCGUUGUUAAAGGCUUUGGCCUAACCAAAGCAUUGCGGUGAAAACUGGUGAGCUAGAGGGUGAGAGAGAGAAGUGGAACUCCCGGAGUAGCGGUAAAAUGCGUCGAUCUCGGGAGGAACACCAAUGGCGAAGGCAGCUUCUUGGCUCAUUCCUGACGUUGAGGCACGAAAGCGUGGGGAGCAAACAGG